CCUACGGGAGGCAGCAGUGGGGAAUAUUGGACAAUGGGGGCAACCCUGAUCCAGCCAUGCCGCGUGUGUGAAGAAGGCCCUCGGGUUGUAAAGCACUUUCAGUGAGGAAGAACGCCUGGUGGUUAAUACCCAUCAGGAAAGACAUCACUCACAGAAGAAGCACCGGCUAACUCCGUGCCAGCAGCCGCGGUAAUACGGAGGGUGCGAGCGUUAAUCGGAAUUACUGGGCGUAAAGCGCGCGUAGGUGGCUUGAUAAGCCGGUUGUGAAAGCCCCGGGCUCAACCUGGGAACGGCAGCCGGAACUGUCAAGCUAGAGUGCAGGAGAGGAAGGUAGAAUUCCCGGUGUAGCGGUGAAAUGCGUAGAGAUCGGGAGGAAUACCAGUGGCGAAGGCGGCCUUCUGGACUGACACUGACACUGAGGUGCGAAAGCGUGGGUAGCAAACAGGAUUAGAUACCCGAGUAGUC
rnacentral:rRNA from 1 species